AUACGGAGGGUGCAAGCGUUACUCGGAAUCACUGGGCGUAAAGCGCGCGCAGGCGGCUAUUUAAGUUGGAUGUGAAAGCCUACGGCUCAACCGUAGAACUGCAUCCAAAACUAUUUAGCUAGAGUGUGGGAGAGGAAGAUGGAAUUAGUUGUGUAGGGGUAAAAUCCGUAGAGAUAACUAGGAAUACCAAAAGCGAAGGCAAUCUACUGGAACACUACUGACGCUGAGGCGCGAAAGCGUGGGGAGCAAACAGGAUUAGAAACCCUAGUAGUCC
rnacentral:rRNA from 1 species